CAGUCGUACCGACGAGAAAUCAACUUAUCGUGUGCGAACUUGUGGGCGUGCGUGAGUUUCGGCCUCGCUGUUUGCAUGUUUGUGCGCUUUGGGUGUACUUUUUCGUAUGGUAGGCCAACGUCAGUUUCGAUUAUCAUAAAAUGACCGGCGGAAUGUAGCUUCGAUUUCGGUUGAAGUGUUAUAGCCUCUGGUAGAUGUGGUGAUUGGGACUGAGGAUUGCAACGAAUACCCUUUGGGCUAUCCGUCUGACCUCUGAAAGUUGCUCAGGUGCCGAAAGCGUGCUUACAGUCAUCUAAGAUAACGUUCAACAGGCUAGAACGUGAUUACAUUCGUUAAGGACGUUGGCGUAAUGGCUUUAAACGA
rnacentral:rRNA from 1 species